CACACUGGGAACUAAAUUAACGGCGGUUCUGACUGCAAGGGGUGGGGGCUUGCGAUCUAAACCGUGAAGAGAUCUUGGGGUCUUACACUGCGCCAUUAGGCUGCGGCACGCCUCGGCCCGCCGCGGCUACAGUGAGAGGCCUUGCCACCGCCGCUCUCGCCCAGGCCUCUAUUGCGGCUUCCACCUCUACGCGGUCACGGCAGCCCAGCCCCGCCCCGCCCUACGCUACUGCUACCUUCGCCGCUGCUGCAACCUCCUCAGCCCGGGCCUCCGCCGCUACCCAAGCAUCCCUUUGAAUGGGGGCAACUGUCCCAAAGUGUGAUGUGUGAAGAGGUAGGAAGAAAGGAGCUUGAGCAUCUCAGUAGCUUCAAUUCAGAUGAUUCUGUUGCACAUGCAGGAUUGAGAACCACAGAACAAUGUAGAGAAGAAUCUCCAAGAGGAGUGUUAUAUAAUGUUCUCUAAAUGUAUUGACCUCAGAAAACCUUUUCUACAGCAAAGCUAUUAACUCUCCUAAUUGACUAGUGUUCCUGAAAUACCAGUUUGGUGAAUUUGGCUUUGGCUAAAAAUGUAAAUUAGCCCCUCUUCAUUUAUUGGUAAAAACAUCCCUUGACAUUCAAAAAAAAUAUUCUGUUAAAAAAAUUUUUUUGAGACAAAGAACUCAUAGAAAGAUGCAAAUAUAGUACAGAAAGGUCCUGUGCACCCUAUACCCAGCUGUUCCAAAUGGUAACACCUUACAUGACUAUCUAUAGUACAAUACCCAAAUCAGCAAAUUAACAUGUACAAUCUACAGACCUCAUUCAGAUUUUGUCACAUUUUACAUGCAUUCCUGUAUGUGUGUGCAUGGAUGUGUGUGUGUGCAUGCACAUGCACGUGCGUGUGUGCACGUGUGUGUGUGUGUGUGGUUCUGUGUAGUUUUACCACAUAUACAGAUUCAUGGAACUACCACUGCAAUCAAGAUUCAGACCUGUUCCAUUAUCACAAAUUAACUCCCUCAUACUAAUGUC